rnacentral:rRNA from 1 species
UCAAAAACAUCGCCUCUUGCAAAACUCAAGAAUAAGAGGUCCCGCCUGCCCAGUGACACUUUAGUUCAACGGCCGCGGUAUUUUGACCGUGCAAAGGUAGCGUAAUCACUUGUCUUUUAAAUGGAGACCUGUAUGAAUGGCACCACGAGGGCUUGACUGUCUCCUCUUUCAGGUCAAUGAAAUUGAUCUCCCCGUGCAGAAGCGGGGAUGAGCCCAUAAGACGAGAAGACCCUAUGGAGCUUUAGACACGAAGGCAGACCAUGUUAAGGACCCUUGGAUAAAAGAUUGAACUUAGUGGCCCCCUGUCCUGAUGUCUUCGGUUGGGGCGACCAUGGGGAAACAAACAUCCCCCGUGCGGAAUGGGAGGACCACCCCUUUCUUUCUCUUCCCCCUCCUCCCACAACUAAGAGCUACAGCUCUAAUUAACAGAAUUUCUGACCAUAAGUGAUCCGGCAACGCCGAUCAGCGGACCAAGUUACCCUAGGGAUAACAGCGCAAUCCCCUUUUAGAGCCCAUAUCGACAAGGGGGUUUACGACCUCGAUGUUGGAUCAGGACAUCCUAAUGGUGUAGCCGCUAUUAAGGGUUCGUUUGUUCAACGAUUAAAGUCCUACGUGAUCUGAGU